GCCGAUGCUGCUCUUCCUUCACCGGCCGAUAUCUCUCUCAUCCGACCUCGAAUCGAGUUGAUUCCAAAAAGGAUUUUUCUGGGCUUGAGCUAUAUUACAACUUUGUAGAAGACACCGAGGGGAAAUAACCAACGUGGUAGUCGCUACAAGUCGAAGAAUACGGUGCAAUCGAGCUGAAAAUCACCUCCCUUCCCCACCGUCAUUCUCCCUCCUCCGGCCACCUUUUGCCGUGAUUCUUGAGGGAAUUCUGCACUUCUGAGGAUGUAGAUCAUUUCCCCUAAGGUGGAUUGCAUCGAUUUUAUCUGUGGAGAUCGAAUUGGAACGAAUUCAAAACUAGGGUUCAUCGGAUCCGUCGGGUUCUAAGGUACUUGACGAUUUGAGUUGACGAGCGUUUGGAAUAUCGUUAUAUUUGACUUUUUAGAAGACGCAGCGGGAUUAGAGCGGGUAAUCUCACAGGUCAGGAGAAUCAGGGCAGUGAUCGUGCAGUUUAGAGUAUUAGUAUUAAAUUUACAGCAUUUGUUUUGUGAGGAGAAUUAUACUCAUUUGAGUUUUGCAAUUUGAUUUGGUGAGAGUGUGCUGUAAUAAGUAACUUGAGGAUUUGGUUUAUGUAAUAUCAAGGGGUGUAACUAGUUGUUGUUUCUGAGAGAAAAAUUCAGAACGUUAUUUGUAUUGUUAUUAGUCAUGUUCCGGAUUUGAAUCCUUAUUUCAAAAUUCGGAGUGUGACAAAGAGAGUCUUGUAUUGGAAGCCGGAAUGAUUAGAAGUUGUGGUAAUUGUGAACCUACUGUUGGAAUUUGA
rnacentral:lncRNA from 1 species